rnacentral:rRNA from 1 species
UGCUCAAUGAUUUUUUAAAUUGCUGUAGUAUUUUGACUAUACAAAGGUAUUGAAAUAAGAUUUUAAUUGAAUGCUAAGAGAAUGGAAGUCCAGAAAAAAACUUUUUUUAAAUUAAAAAUUGAAGUUUUUUUAAUUUGUGCAGAAACAAUUAUUUAUAUUAAAGACAAGAAGACCCUAUGAAUUUAUUAAAUUUUUAUUUAAUAUGUAAUUACUAUUAUAAAAAUUUUGGCUGGGGCGGCUAGAAAAUAUUAUGAACUUUUUAAAAAUAAAAUGAUCCAUUAUUAAUGAUUUUAUGUUAAAUACUCUAGGGA